UCGGCACCAAGUUGAUCUGAAAUGCAUAUUUGAACAGAUGUGUUUAAAUUACAUCUCCGUCUAUCCACAUGCAUAAAUUCAGAGCAAGCGUGUGUUGAUUUAAAAUGCAUAAAAAAAGGGAUUUGGAGACGCAUCAAAAGUGAACAGCAUCUCAAUGGAUCAAGGCUCACAUUACGAAAGGGAAAGGAAGAGACACCAGAGCUCUCUCUCCCCAUGUCACACACAGAGGAAAGGCCCAGUGGAGGACACAGGAAGAAGGCAGCCAUCUGCAAACCAGGAACAGAGACCUGACCAGAAACAGAAUCUGCUGGCACCUGAUCUGGGACUUGCAGCCUCUAAAAUGCCUGGGAUGCUAACAUGACAGCAGGACAAAGAAGAGCCAUCUUAGACCUAGAGAGGG